rnacentral:hammerhead_ribozyme from 1 species
AUCCAGCCGACGAGUUCCAAAUAGGACGAAACGCGCGUCCUGGAU